rnacentral:lncRNA from 1 species
AUGUCUGGAUCAGUAUUAUGUCUUUCACGGGGAAUCUCGUCCUUGAUACUGUCCUCAAGGUCCUCAUGCAUUUUAUCUCCUGCCUCCCCCACCUGCUCUUCAUUGACAGGAAGGAAAUGUCUCUCUUGGUCAACAGUGUCCUCAGUGAAAUCUUCUUUGUGGAGAUCUUUACCUGGUUCCUCCAUGAUAUCACCUGCUGUGGAUGUCCUUACAGCUUUCAAGGGUAAAGGCGUUGACCCUCUGUUUGCGGCGAUUAAAAAGCUGCACUCCUCUGGAGCUGGAGUUCGAAGGAAUGGAGAAUAAUCGCUGUGGCACAUCUGCUAGAUUAUUCAUCGAAUUCAUGGAGCUCUGACUGGUGGAGGAUAUCUGAUGUCCCUCCAGGAGGUUUGUCAAAACAGCUGGCACAACCAUGACUCCUUCUUCAUUAUUAAGAUGAUGGAUCCAGACAGCUACAUUAUUUGAUGUAAUCAUGUGCCAAUCAUAAUAAUCAUGCAUAAAUUAAUCACUGUCCUAUAGAACUCGUUCUGCAUUCACUUUUUCCUGGCACAGAGCGUAAAACUAACAAAAUCAUUCCCCCAGUAAAGAGAAAUAAUAUGCAUCUGUCAUUGAUUUUACAGACUUUAACUCUGCCCUCAUGGUAAAUGAAAUAACUGUCUAUAGGGCAUAAGUCCUUUUACAUACUCCCAUGAAAGGUUCAAGAACACAUGUUUAUUUCCUCAUAUAUUGUUUAAAUAUAUAAAGAAGGAUUUAAGGCACAUUUGCAGUAUCUCCAAGCACCAAAUUAUACACUUUGAUGAUGACAGAAAGCAAAAGAUUGUCAGUUUCAGCGAUGUUAAUCAAUCAAUCUGACACAGGAGAGACAGAAUGUGACACUAUAUAUCAACCACAUUACAUAUUUGUGGCAACAAUAUGGAAAAAAGCAUUAUCACACAAGCACUCCUCUCAGCGCUAUUGGCACGAGCAUAAAUCACCUACUUUUAUUGACUGCAGAAGAAAAAUGAAUCAGUCUUAUCGCACAGGUACUUACUGUAUAUUCAGUUCCUUUUUAUCAAGGUUGUCAAUAUGGAAAUGUCCCCACAGGUCUCAAUAACGACUUUUAUUAGCUUUUUGCUGUUUAUAAUUCAUGCCUCCUGACUAAACCAGGGCAGUGAGGCUUGAAAUUAAAUGUCCUCAACAUAAACAUCUUCCUCUAGUGGGAGCCAGACUGGUUAUCAAGUAACAUGCAGGUGCAAAUCCCAUCAGUGAUUAAUAUCAUGACCAAAAUACAAGUGAUACUGUUUAUGAAAUGCUGACUUUGUUUGUCAUGAUAGCAAUUUUUGGAAGGGUUUAGUUAUAAUCUGAUUAAAUGACAACAACCUAGCCACUGCAUGAAGGUGUUAACAAAUAAGUCAUUAAGGGAAAUAAAUAUACAUUUAAGUGAAGUUAUUUUUAAGUUAUUGUACAGACAUACAAACCACAGAAUGGCUAAAAGUAUGUGUUGAUUUAAAAACCUAACUGUUAUGGACAGUAGCCUAUAUCUCCUGUUACGAAAAACUACACAUUAGUACCAACAAGUCAUAUUUCUUCACAACAGGCAAUAGGCAAGCACAAAUUUUCAGUUUUCAUUUGAGGAGAUAAAGUAGCCCAGUGUUUUACAAGAUUUAUCUUUCUGGAACCACUUUAGUGCCUAAUCUCUUACCUUUUUCCUGUCAAAACUCAGAGCUCCGCUGUUUUGUAGUACUUCCACAAAAGUUUUCAAUUUAAGUGUGUCUGAUAGCUUCACACCCCCUUUCUGUAGCGAGACACAGGAUCGGAUUUCUUUUUCUCUGCAGUCCAGCACGCAGGAAGGCAGGCAGGGAGGGAAAGGAGGGAGGGGGUCUGUGGCUGGAGGCUGUGCUGUCUGUCAUUCAGCCUCCAGCCCUAUUUCACUUUUUCAAAGCUGCGUUGCCUCCAUCUCCUCAGACUUUUUGCUAAUUAUAAAAAUGGGGAAAAAAGAGCUCAGGGCUUCUGUUGAGAAACUAUUGAUGUUGCAGCUGUUGCAAAGACACUACUCUUUGUUUUGACAGUUCUGGAGAUGUUCCCAAUCGAUGGCAGCUAUUGAGCGGCUUAUCUUUGUCUCAUGUGUUGUGAUGGCAGGAAAGUGUCUGAACCCAGCCGCAGUCUUUAAAAUGAAAAAGGGAACCCAGAGAUACAUCCAUUUAUGGGCUUAUAGAUUAGAGCACUGAAUGCUCCGGCACCUGACCUCUGCUGCCCUUUGCGUCUGUCUGGAUAUCACUGUGUGGGUUUAUUCUCCCCAACCAAGUGUCUGCCCUGUUU